UGCAGUCGAACGAAGCCUUCGGGCUUAGUGGCGCACGGGUGCGUAACGCGUGGGAAUCUGCCCUUGGGUUCGGAAUAACAGUUAGAAAUGACUGCUAAUACCGGAUGAUGUCUUCGGACCAAAGAUUUAUCGCCCAAGGAUGAGCCCGCGUCGGAUUAGCUAGUUGGUGAGGUAAAGGCUCACCAAGGCGACGAUCCGUAGCUGGUCUGAGAGGAUGAUCAGCCACACUGGGACUGAGACACGGCCCAGACUCCUACGGGAGGCAGCAGUGGGGAAUAUUGGACAAUGGGCGAAAGCCUGAUCCAGCAAUGCCGCGUGAGUGAUGAAGGCCUUAGGGUUGUAAAGCUCUUUUACCCGGGAUGAUAAUGACAGUACCGGGAGAAUAAGCCCCGGCUAACUCCGUGCCAGCAGCCGCGGUAAUACGGAGGGGGCUAGCGUUGUUCGGAAUUACUGGGCGUAAAGCGCACGUAGGCGGCUUUGUAAGUUAGAGGUGAAAGCCCGGGGCUCAACUCCGGAACUGCCUUUAAGACUGCAUCGCUUGAAUCAUGGAGAGGUUAGUGGAAUUCCGAGUGUAGAGGUGAAAUUCGUAGAUAUUCGGAAGAACACCAGUGGCGAAGGCGACUAACUGGACAUGUAUUGACGCUGAGG
rnacentral:rRNA from 1 species